rnacentral:rRNA from 1 species
GACGAACGCUGGCGGCGUGCUUAACACAUGCAAGUCGAGCGGAAAGGCCCUGCUUUUGUGGGGUGCUCGAGUGGCGAACGGGUGAGUAACACGUGAGUAACCUGCCCUUGACUUUGGGAUAACUUCAGGAAACUGGGGCUAAUACCGGAUAGGAGCUCCUGCUGCAUGGUGGGGGUUGGAAAGUUUCGGCGGUUGGGGAUGGACUCGCGGCUUAUCAGCUUGUUGGUGGGGUAGUGGCUUACCAAGGCUUUGACGGGUAGCCGGCCUGAGAGGGUGACCGGCCACAUUGGGACUGAGAUACGGCCCAGACUCCUACGGGAGGCAGCAGUGGGGAAUAUUGCACAAUGGGCGGAAGUCUGAUGCAGCAACGCCGCGUGCGGGAUGACGGCCUUCGGGUUGUAAACCGCUUUCGCCUGUGACGAAGCGUGAGUGACGGUAAUGGGUAAAGAAGCACCGGCUAACUACGUG